rnacentral:rRNA from 1 species
AUACGGAGGGUGCAAGCGUUAUCCGGAUUUAUUGGGUUUAAAGGGUCCGCAGGCGGAACUUUAAGUCAGUGGUGAAAGCCUACAGCUUAACUGUAGAAUUGCCAUUGAAACUGAAGUUCUUGAGUGUGGUUGAAGUGGGCGGAAUAUGUCAUGUAGCGGUGAAAUGCAUAGAUAUGACAUGGAACACCUAUUGCGAAAGCAGCUCACUAAACCAUUACUGACGCUCAUGGACGAAAGUGUGGGUAGCGAACAGGAUUAGAUACCCUGGUAGUCCACACCGUAAACUAUGAUCACUAGAUGUUGGCGAUAUAAUGUCAGUGUUAAAGAGAAAUCGUUAAGUGAUCCACCUGGGGAGUACGUUCGCAAGAAUGAAACUCAAAGGAAUUGACGGGGGCCCGCACAAGCGGUGGAGCAUGUGGUUUAAUUCGAUGAUACGCGAGGAACCUUACCAAGGCUUAAAUGUAAAACGACCGGUUGAGAAAUCAAUCUUUUUUCGAACGAUUUACAAGGUGCUGCAUGGUUGUCGUCAGCUCGUGCCGUGAGGUGUCGGGUUAAGUCCCAUAACGAGCGCAACCCCUAUUUUUAGUUACCAGCGAGUAAUGUCGGGAACUCUAAAGAAACUGCCCGUGCAAACGGAGAGGAAGGUGGGGAUGACGUCAAAUCAUCACGGCCCUUAUGUCUUGG